GAAGAACCUUACCACCCCUUGACAUCCUCGGAACUGCCUGGAGACAGGCAGGUGCCUUCGGGAACCGAGUGACAGGUGCUGCAUGGCUGUCGUCAGCUCGUGUCGUGAGAUGUUGGGUUAAGUCCCGUAACGAGCGCAACCCUUGUCCUUAUUUGCCAGCGGGUCAGGCCGGGAACUCUAGGGAGACUGCCGGUGACAAACCGGAGGAAGGUGGGGAUGAUGUCAAGUCAUCAUGGCCCUCACGGGGUGGGCUACAAACGUGCUACAAUGGGCGGCACAGAGGGCUGCGAACCAGCAAUGGCAAGCGAAUCCCAAAAAACCGCUCGUAGUCCGGAUAGGAGUCUGCAACUCGACUCCUUGAAGUCGGAAUCGCUAGUAAUCGCGAAUCAGA
rnacentral:rRNA from 1 species